AAAAAGUUUUAUUUAAGCUUAAAAAUUGUAUAAGUUAAAAAUUUAUAUGUAAAUAUUUAUUUAGAUAGUUUUUUUGCAGUAAAUAGUAUUAAAAAUUUUUUAAUAGAAGAUUUAGUUAAGUAUUUUAGUUAUAACAAAUUUUGUGCCAGCAGUUGCGGUUAUACAAUUAUUAGCAAUAUAAUUAUUUUGAUUAUUAUUUAAUUAGGAAUAUUAAAAAUUAGGUUUUUAAUUUUAGGUGAAAUUUUAUUAUUUUAAAGGUUUUUUUUAUAUUAAUGAUUCUAAUAAUUCUAUUAAUAAAACAAGGAUUAGAUACCCUUUUAUAUUAGGUCUAAAGGUUUUUGAUUGAUUAGUAUUAGUUAAUUUCUUGAAAUUCAAUAAUUUUGGCGGUAUUUUAGACUGGUUAGAGGAAUCUGUCCUGUAAUUGAUAAUCCACGAUUAUAGUUACUUUUAUUUGUUUGUAUAUCAUCGUUGUUAAAAAUUUUGAGAAAGUUAAAUUUUUAUAAUUUUAAAUUAAAAAGUAAUUCAGAUCAAGGUGCAGCUUAAAAAAGUAGAGAUGGAUUACAUAUAAACAUAGGAUUAUUAAUUAAAAUAUUAAUUUGAAUUUGGAUUUAAAAGUAAUUUUGAUUUUAUAGUUAAAAUGACUUAGCUCUAAAAUAUGUACAUAUCGCCCGUCGCUUUCAUUAUAAAAUGAAAUAAGUCGUAACAAAGUAGAUUAACUGGAAGGUGAAUCUAGAAAGUC
rnacentral:ncRNA from 1 species